GUUUACGUUUUCCCAUUUUUAAGAAGCUAUUCUCAAGUUCCGCCUGAAGCGCCUCCCCCUUCUGUCCAGGCCCGGCCGGCUCUCCUCUACGAGUCCUGCCAGAAUGCAGAUUAAGGUAACCAUGCCUGUACGUCUUCACCACCAAGGCCAACAAGUACCAUGAGGGGACAGAGACUGAGGUGAACUGCAAUAAAUGUAAGAAGAGAAAAGCUCACAGGAUACCUGGCCGGAGAUGAUAGUUAGACGUGGCAAGACGGAGAGACCCCGAGCUGCCUUGC